CUCUUCAAGCUUGCAAAAUCCUGGCUCUGGGCCUUCUAGAUCUUAUUCAAACGUCUAGUUUACCUAAUUUAUUACUGUGUGUGUACUACUCCUAUUCUUUCUACAAUAAGGCCUUUGGUCCAGUGAGCAGAACAGAACAUGAUAUUAACCAAAAUGUUAUUUUAGGAGAU